ACCGGUGUGGCUCAGUGGAUAGAGCAUCAGCCUGCAGACUGAAGGUUGCGGGUUCAGUUCCGGUCAAGGGCA
rnacentral:tRNA from 1 species